UCAACAUCUACCUGUUCACCCACUUCCUAUGCCAAGUCCGCUUUUCUAGGAAGCGAUUUGAUAAAUUCAUUUACAUUGUUGUAAGUGAAUUUUUAUCAUUGUGACCCUAAGAAGAUAAAGGCACAAAAACCAUCAAACUGCAUUUCCAGGUUAAUGACAUCAUGGUGUUUUGAGUACUUUCUCCCCUUCAGGGCUGGAGCGACAGAGGAGAAUGGCACCUUACUGAGUAAGAAUGAGGACUGCAAGAGGAGGGGGCACAAGAAGCCUGAGAGGAAAAAAAGCAGUGAGACAUCUUCAGUCUUCCAGCCAGGCUUCCUUAUGAUGGAAACCUGGUCUGGGUUGCUCAUUACUGAACCUCCUCACACCUGGAGCAGUGCCUGGCACAAGGAGCUUACGAAUCCUCAGAACAGAAGAAACAGAGACGAUUGCUGUCUUCAUUUUAGAGACAAAGAGGUGUAGAGAGCCAGGCAUUCCUCUUUCAACAAGAUUGGCCUUCAAUGUAUUAACACUCUGGACUGUGCCACCACCUCUCAAUAGGUGAUUGAACUGAUUCACAGGAAUACCACCAGCAAAAGUCCUGGUAGAGUAUUUCUCAGACCCACUUCACCUCACUCAGGAAGAUGAUGACUAACCUUGGUGAAUAUUGUUCGCUAAUGAUGAUCUUCGUUCCUCUUGAAUAAGAGGGAAGAAUGACAAGGUUGAACUUUAUCUUGUCCUGCAAUACAACAAUUGAUGGUCAAGAAAUCCUCCUCUACCCUCAAAGUAAGUCAUCAUAUAAGACACCUGCUUUUAUGUUUAUUGCAGCACUAUUUACAAUAGCAAAGAUCUGGAAUCAACCUAAAUGUCCAUCAACACCAUCAACAGGA